rnacentral:rRNA from 1 species
GAGUUUGAUUAUGGCUCAGGAUGAACGCUGACAGAAUGCUUAACACAUGCAAGUCUACUUGAAUUUGGGUUUUUUAACUUCGAUUUGGGUGGCGGACGGGUGAGUAACGCGUAAAGAACUUGCCUCACAGCUAGGGACAACAUUUGGAAACGAAUGCUAAUACCUGAUAUUAUGAUUUUAGGGCAUCCUAGAAUUAUGAAAGCUAUAUGCGCUGUGAGAGAGCUUUGCGUCCCAUUAGCUAGUUGGAGAGGUAACGGCUCACCAAGGCGAUGAUGGGUAGCCGGCCUGAGAGGGUGAUCGGCCACAAGGGGACUGAGACACGGCCCUUACUCCUACGGGAGGCAGCAGUGGGGAAUAUUGGACAAUGGACCAAGAGUCUGAUCCAGCAAUUCUGUGUGCACGAUGAAGUUUUUCGGAAUGUAAAGUGCUUUCAGUUGGGAAGAAAAAAAUGACG